UAGUAAGUUGAAUUUAAUUUGUAAUUUAAGUCUUUUGAAACGAGGUUGAUUAAUAUUUAAAUUUAAUAGAAAAUCGCUAUAAAAUUCGAUUUUUCAAAUAAAAAAAUAAAAACAUUAAUAUGGUUAAAACUCAACGAGUUUAAGACUGCUCAUGCUAUAAUAUAAUAAUAAGAAAAAAUAGAAUAUGACUCAAAAGCCCAUGCAUCCAUUCAAGACUCCCUAAACUUAUAAAAACCCUUCUCUUCUUCUUUUGUGAAAUCUUUUACUCAACUCUCACAGACGCUCUCGUUUUGCCGCUCUUUUUAUUAUAUUCGAUGAUCAUUGGCAGUUUUAGAUAUUAAUCUUGCUAAUGGUGCCAUUAUUAAAAGCACCACCACCACCACCACCACCAAUCACUAGACUGAGUUUGGUUUCCUCCUUCAAACCCUCUUGCUCCCCUCCAACUCCAUUCAUCCUCCUUUAGCAAUAAGGGUAUCUCUCAUAUCAUCACUCUCUUUACAUCAAACCCUUUUGCUCUUGUUCAUUUUCUUUUGUUUUGUUACUUUUGAUCACAUAAUUGUGUAUAAAAGUGCAUUGCCUUCGCCUUUUUGGUUUCUUGUAAUUCUUGUUCUUGGUCUAUGUGUAUAGAUGAUCACUUAACUAUUACUUAAAAGUAUUUUAAUUGCUUGCUUUCUUGUAGUGGGAAUUAGUGAUUGUGUACAAAUAGCUUAUUCCAAUAAAUUAAGAUGCUAUUGUCUUGGUGGGACUGGAAACAUCAACUUUUUUGGUCGAUUAGGUAGACUUUUCAGGGUAAGGUUUUAGGAUUUUGUUAAUGUUAAUAACAUUUGUCAAUAACGCUAUAAAAGGGUCUUGCUAAUUCUUUUACAGCUUUUGGAGAGUAAGAUACAAGAAGCAAAUGCCAAAAAAGAAGCUUUCAUAGCAAUUGCUGCAACAACAAAGACUGUAACAAGAGUGCACAGCAUGAUUGGAAAUUUUUAUUGAAGAACUGCAGUUUCAGUUUUUGAGAUGAUAGAGAAAACUUGUUGGCCUUGGAGUAUGAAGCGGAGUCCCUCCAUCUCUUAACCACUAAUAAUCUUGAGGAAAAGUUUGCACUUUUAAAGGGAUCUCUCGCUAAUGAUGAAUCAGAAGAGUUGAAGAAAGAGCUAUUUCUGGACCUACAGUUGGACUGAUGAAAGCAUGAACUUCCACCUUGGAAAACUGAAAUUGAUAUGGAGGAGAGAUUUGAGAAGCAAUUCCAUUGAAACUCAGGAGAAAGCAAUGGUCUUCUAAAUCAUAUACUUGUCUUCCACUGUGCAAUUUCUGAGAGAUGUUCGGUAGAGAAAAAUGGUUUCUCCAUGCAUGGAAAUUAAGCAGGUUUUUUCAUGGAUUUGGGAUGUGAAAUUGAGACUACUGCUACUGCCCCAUACAUAAUGCGUGCCUCAUUGUUGUCAUUUGGAGUCUGUACAUUCUCAUUUGCAAACAUUCAUAUUACCCCAAUAAAUAUGGGGACUAUUUGACCACAGAUACAUCUAACGAUGCUAUGUUAUAAAUUAUUUUACUAAGAUCGGAUGUAUAAUUUUCGGAUUACUUGUUCACAAGUGUUUCUAUAUGAACAUGCAAUGCGAAACACAAUUUAUACUUGUUCACAA